rnacentral:rRNA from 1 species
GGCUAGGCACUAUUGGUCUGCCUCUAUGGUAGUACUAGUGGUUGUCUAGCCUUUCCUUCUAGGGGCCUAGUAUGCCUUUCGGGGUGUAUUAGGAGUCUAGGACUUUUACUGUGAAGAAAUUAGAGUGUUUAAGGCAGGCUUGCGCUUGAAUACAUUAGCAUGGAAUAAUAGAAUAGGACUUUGGUUCUAUUUUGUUGGUUUUAAGGACCAAAGUA